rnacentral:misc_RNA from 1 species
AAAGUCGUAACAAGGUUUCCGUAGGUGAACCUGCGGAAGGAUCAUUACAAGAUGAGAGGUUUCGGCCUCAAAUCCCGCCCUUCUGUCAUUGUCAGGAAGUCUGCAUAGCCUGUGAAAACGGGUGUUUGUGUGACUUUUCACAUUACUUCGGUCGAUGUGUGUUUGGUUUCUAUGUAGCGUACGAGUAGACAAACUACUCUGAGCCACGCAGGACUGAACCGCGGCCGGCAGGUGCAUUGUCGCACUUGAUUACCAAACUCUUUGAGAACUUUUGAAGCCUGAGAAAACAUGUUAAAUAAAAAGCAAAACUUUCAACAACGGAUCUCUUGGCUCUG